GGGGAGCUCUGCUAGCUUGGUAGGCUUCCAGGUUCGGGACCUGGCGACCCGAGUUCAAAUCUCGGGCUCCCCG
rnacentral:tRNA from 1 species